CACAUCCUUUACUCAUCCCUAUCCUCCCAGCUCGACCCUUGGACCUCUUCAGAAGUUGCUGGAGCUCAGGAGAGAGUCUUCCACCUUCUCUCUUUCUCUCUCUCUAGGGCUUUUCUCUCUCUACGAGAAAACCGCCGAUUCGAGUUGAUUUCGCGCCGGGUUCGUCGCUUGCUGUUUAGGCAGACUUGGGGCCAGCUUCUAAAAGAGAUUCCAGCAGCUAGAGGAGAGAUGUUUAGCUGUGAAUUGACCCCCUUAGACCAGGGAUAAUCUAAUUUGAAGCUUACUUAAGGUCUUUGAGUCUCUUUGAGCUGAACUUGUACUCUUAGAAGCUGGUUUGGAAGCUAUUCUAUCCUGUGCAAGAAGGUUUAGUUGAUCCUUGGACCGCCUUCUACUGGCAUUGGAGGGCCUUUGGAAGCUUAACUUGAGCAGGGUUGGAGCCUUGUGGAGCUGAUUAUUGCGACUUCUUGUGACUAUUUGGAGCUUAGUACUAGAGCCAUCUACAGGAGAGGCUAGGGAUCGUGGCAAGGGAG